rnacentral:rRNA from 1 species
ACGGAGGGUGCAAGCGUUAUUCGGAUUUAUUGGGCGUAAAGGGCGCGCAGGCGGUUUUUUAGGUCGGAUGUGAAAUCCCGUGGCUUAACUGCGGAAGUGCAUUCGAAACCGGAAGACUUGAGUAUGGGAGAGGGAAACGGAAUUCCCGGUGUAGCGGUGAAAUGCGUAGAUACCGGGAGGAACGCGUGUGGCGAAAGCGGUUUCCCGGAACUAUACUGACGCGGAGGCGGGAAGGUGAGGGGAUCGGUGAG